rnacentral:rRNA from 1 species
UAUGCGAUACUUGGUGUGAAUUGCAGAAUUCAGUGAAUCAUCGAAUCUUUGAACGCACAUUGCGCCCGCCAGUAUUCUGGCGGGCAUGCCUGUUCGAGCGUCAUUUCAACCAUCAAGCCCCGGGCUUGUGUUGGGGACCUGCGGCUGCCGCAGGCCCUGAAAUGCAGUGGCGGGCUCGCUGUCACACCGAGCGUAGUAGCAUUAUCUCGCUCUGGGCGUGCUGCGUGUCCCGGCCGUAAAACGACCUUACACCCAAGGUUGACCUCGGAUCAGGUAGGAGGACCCGCUGAACUUAAGCAUAUCAAUAAGCGGAGGAA